CCUACGGGGUGCAGCAGUGGGGAAUAUUGGGCAAUGGGCGCAAGCCUGACCCAGCAACGCCGCGUGAAGGAAGAAGGCUUUCGGGCUGUAAACUUCUUUUAAGAGGGAAGAGCAGAAGACGGUACCUCUUGAAUAAGCCACGGCUAACUACGUGCCAGCAGCCGCGGUAAUACGUAGGUGGCAAGCGUUGUCCGGAUUUACUGGGUGUAAAGGGCGUGUAGCCGGGCUGACAAGUCAGAUGUGAAAUUCCGGGGCCCAAACCCGGACCUGCAUUUGAAACCGUUGGGCUUGAGUAUCGGAGAGGCAGGCGGAAUUCCUAGUGUAGCGGUGAAAUGCGUAGAUAUUAGGAGGAACACCAGUGGCGAAGGCGGCCUGCUGGACGACAACUGACGGUGAGGCGCGAAAGCGUGGGGAGCAAACAGGAUUAGAUACCCGGGUAGUC
rnacentral:rRNA from 1 species